rnacentral:rRNA from 1 species
GGCUGCACCCGUUCCCUUUCCGAACACGGCCGUGAAACGCCCCAGCGCCAAUGGUACUUCGUCUCAAGACGCGGGAGAGUAGGUCGCUGCCAGGU